rnacentral:ncRNA from 1 species
AAUCUGACUGCUUAAUCAAAACAAAGCAUCGCGAAGGCCUGUGGCAGAUACUGAUGUGAUGUGAUAUAUGCCUAGUGCUCUGAAUGUCAAAGUGAAGAAAUUCACUGAAGUGCAGGUAAAGGGCGGGAGUAACUAUGACUCUCUUAAGAAGGUAUUGAAAGAGAAGAAGGAAGUGAGAAAGAGUAUGAGAAACUCUGGAAGGUU